rnacentral:rRNA from 1 species
GACGAACGCUGGCGGCGUGCCUAAUACAUGCAAGUAGAACGCACAGUUUAUACCGUAGCUUGCUACACCAUAAACUGUGAGUUGCGAACGGGUGAGUAACGCGUAGGUAACCUGCCUGGUAGCGGGGGAUAACUAUUGGAAACGAUAGCUAAUACCGCAUAAUAUUGAUUAUUGCAUGAUAAUUGAUUGAAAGAUGCUAUUGCAUCACUACCAGGUGGACCUGCGUUGUAUUAGCUAGUAGGUGAGGUAACGGCUCACCUAGGCGACGAUACAUAGCCGACCUGGGAGGGUGAUCGGCCACACUGGGACUGAGACACGGCCCAGACUCCUACGGGAGGCAGCGGUAGGGAAUCUUCGGCAAUGGACGAAAGUCUGACCGAGCAACGCCGCGUGAGUGAAGAAGGUUUUCGGAUCGUAAAGCUCUGUUGUAAGAGAAGAACGGGUGUGAGAGUGGAAAGUUCACACUGUGACGGUAUCUUACCAGAAAGGGACGGCUAACUACGUG